rnacentral:rRNA from 1 species
GACGAACGCUGGCGGCGUGCUUAACACAUGCAAGUCGAACGGAAAGGCCCUGCUUUUGUGGGGUGCUCGAGUGGCGAACGGGUGGGUAACACGUGAGUAACCUGCCCUUGACUUUGGGAUAACUUCAGGAAACUGGGGCUAAUACCGGAUAGGAGCUCCUGCUGCAUGGUGGGGGUUGGAAAGUUUCGGCGGUUGGGGAUGGACUCGCGGCUUAUCAGCUUGUUGGUGGGGUAGUGGCUUACCAAGGCUUUGACGGGUAGCCGGCCUGAGAGGGUGACCGGCCACAUUGGGACUGAGAUACGGCCCAGACUCCUACGGGAGGCAGCGGUGGGAAGUAUUGCACAGUGGGCGGAAGCCUGGUGCAGCGACGCCGCGUGCGGGAUGACGGCCUUCGGGUUGUAAACCGCUUUCGCCUGUGACGAAGCGUGAGUGACGGUAAUGGAUAAAGAAGCACCGGCUAACUACGUG